rnacentral:piRNA from 1 species
UAUUCAUCUGGUGACUUGUUAAUAUACU